UCCUUCGGGGUGAGUGGCAGACGGGUGAGUAACGCGUGGGAACGUGCCCUUCAGUUCGGAAUAACCCAGGGAAACUUGGGCUAAUACCGGAUACGUGCGAGAGCAGAAAGAUUUAUCGCUGAAGGAUCGGCCCGCGUCUGAUUAGCUAGUUGGUAGGGUAAUGGCCUACCAAGGCGACGAUCAGUAGCUGGUCUGAGAGGAUGAUCAGCCACAUUGGGACUGAGACACGGCCCAAACUCCUACGGGAGGCAGCAGUGGGGAAUAUUGGACAAUGGGCGCAAGCCUGAUCCAGCCAUGCCGCGUGAGUGAUGAAGGCCUUAGGGUUGUAAAGCUCUUUCGGCGGGGACGAUAAUGACGGUACCCGCAGAAGAAGCCCCGGCUAACUUCGUGCCAGCAGCCGCGGUAAUACGAAGGGGGCUAGCGUUGUUCGGAAUCACUGGGCGUAAAGGGCGCGUAGGCGGCUUUAUAAGUCGGGGGUGAAAGCCUGUGGCUCAACCACAGAAUUGCCUUCGAUACUGUAUGGCUUGAGACCGGAAGAGGUAAGUGGAACUGCGAGUGUAGAGGUGAAAUUCGUAGAUAUUCGCAAGAACACCAGUGGCGAAGGCGGCUUACUGGUCCGGUUCUGACGCUGAGGCGCGAAAGCGUGGGGAGCAAACAGGAUUAGAUACCCUGGUAGUCCACGCCGUAAACGAUGAAUGCCAGCCGUUGGGCAGCUUGCUGCUCAGU
rnacentral:rRNA from 1 species